AUCCGGUCAAGAUAGCUUUCAUUGUUAUCUAUAGCGUCAGAAAAUUACAUUGCGACUGUAUUCCUUAAACAUGGGCGUCAUUUCGGUAUGGCAAGCUAUUGCAUCUUCAAUAUCUUUGAACAUUUCUCAGUGUUCUAAAUUAUCCUAUUGUUUCGCACAAUCAUUCAUUGCACAAAGCAGAGCGACGCCGAGAAGUCGACACACGUAUGGCGUGUGCAGUAGCCUAUGUUAGCUGGCCGUUGGUUUGUGGAGGAGAAAUCUAAACAAUCAUUGUUUGAUGCUUUCUUUACGAAAAGGGCUGAACGUGAUUCAGCUAUCACAGCCCUUUCUAGUGUUUCGCAACCAGACAGGAUCAACGCUGGUUCUGGUUUUUAAACGUUUCAAUGGCUAACAGCGAUCUAGGACCGUAACGACAAUGCUAAACGUUAGUGCCAAUAAUGUUCGUGGCGCUACCACUAGAGAUCGGUGUGGUGCUGCGCAGUCCGUGCAAUCGAUUCUCAGCCCCUAUGCUAAUAGUCCUGACACUGAAAGCACCGUUUAAUGGAUUGUGCUAAUCGGUUGCCUCUGGAUUAAAUUCCCUCAAGAGCAUCAUCUGGCCCCACCCCCUGCUACUGCAUUUUUCCAAUCCAAAGCUUCUUGUUUGGUCAAGACGUCCUUUUUGAAAAACUGGCGUAUGGUUUGGUCAAUGAAUGGGAUAAUGCAAACGAAACUUGCAGAAGCGAUUAAUGGACGGCAGAACUAGGAAGUUUUUUACUGAAUGUGUGGACAGCGAUGGACAGUGGAACGAGGAAGCUUUGCUGUGACACGAGGAAACUUGGUUACAUACAGACGAGCAAACACGGGAGCAUGGUACAAAGGCAAAGUCCAGUGUGCAAAUGAAAAGUGCAAGUACGUCUUUGUACGAACAUAUCUCACGGUUACUAAAUAAGCAAAUAAAUUAAGCAACAAAACAAGAACACACAGAACCAACCUGACACCUCGUCAGCAGCUGUUUUAACUGAAUCUUAUCUUAGAGCUUGCUUCACUGAUUUUGGUACACAGAAAAUAAUAAUAAUAAUAAUAAUAUUUUUAAAAAUAAUACCUUUAUUUAUAUAACACCUUUCAGACAACAAGCAGCAGCCUAAAGUGCUUUGCAGUGGGGUAAAAUGGACAAUCAUGGGGUAAUAAAUCGAGAAAAAUUGAUAAAACAAUAGAAAAAAUUAAACUUGAUAAAAUGAAAGAAUAUAAAAAACGUGCUAAAAACUAAUGUAAAAAAUAUCAAAAGAUAUGUUAUUGCAUAGGUACUAUUGGGAGGGGGGGGGUGCCUUGGACUAACUGAUGGAAAGCCAUGUUUGUGGGCAAUUCUUGCACAGUGCUGAUCCAACCAAAUGUCUCACCCCAUGUUACUGGCAAUUGUUCAACCAAAAGAAAAAGAUUUAUGCUAUGCAGAAGUGUGUUGGUGAAAUAAAACCCAGUGAAUAUACAGUAUUAUACACAAUUUUACAGGUUUUUUGUUGUUGUGUGUGUGGGAAGUUAACAAGUUAGGCAGGGUCUACCUUGACCCUGUGACCUUAUAGUAUCAGGGACCUUGGAGGCCUGGCCUGAUACAGUGACUGGCUGCUUUUCCCUGCUCUGGUGCCUGGAGAUGACAGUCAAAUCAAAAUAUAGUGGUCAAGAAAUUGGGCUUGUAACCUCUAAUAAAUGGAUGCUGUCUAAAAAUGCAAAAUUUGUGGAAGUUGCGCUGGACAGGAACGUCUGCUAAAUGCCUGUAAUGUAAAAUGUAAAAAGGGGAGAAACUGAGGCAUGUUAUUCAGAGAGCUGAGUUGGCACCUGUGCGUCAGAUUGAGAAUGGGAUAUCGGCACUUGACCUGCAAUAAGAGUGAGAUUUCUCGGCCUUGUGCUCAGUGGGCCAUUACAUUACCGGAAUUUAGCAGAUGCUCUUAUCCAGAGUGGC